UUGCGUAAGAGAGCUCUCUCCUUGUUGCCGGAGGAUGCUAGCCUCUCUGGGUUGCCUUUGAAUCAAGAUGCAGAACUCUCAGCUACUUCUUUAGCACCAUUUCUGCCUAGAUGCUGCCAUGCUCCCUACCACGAUGAUAAUGGACUUUGAACCUGUAAGCCAGUCCCAAUUAAAUGUUUGCCUUUAUAAGAGUUGACUUGAUCAGGAUGUCUCCUCACAGCAAUGGAAAUAUUAAACAGGAGACUUGCCUAAAAUCAGUGUAAAGUAGGGCAUGUGGUAAGAAGUCCUUAAAGGAAGAAAACAAACGAUCAAACAAAUCAACAAACCGACAACCCGUCCCCAGGCUCCAGGUUACUCUGCCUGCCGUCAACAACUGAACUUUGACCAGCUGAGGACUAAAUAUGAAUGGAAGGGUUUAAAUCGGGAAGGAGAAGAAUGACGUAAAGAAAUAAAACUACAGCUUUCAAAAGUCUCCAUGAAACAAAAGUUUUUUGUUUUGUUUUGUUUUUUGUUUUUAAUCCAAACUAAGCAAAACCCGUUCCCGUGUUUAGAGCGCCAUCUCUUGGUCAUGAGUUCGAAUGGCCCUGAAGGGAAAGAACAGAGGCUUGGGCUGGAUAUUCAUUCAUCUGCAGUCACAAAGUUUUCCUCUCUAGCUGCUGUGACAGAUUACUGAUAGAAGAAGAAUCUCAAGGGAGGACAGACUUAGUUCUGGAUCCAAGGAGUUUAGUUUCAUGGCAGGGGAGGCAUGGUCGCUGGGAUGAUUCUGUUGCUAUGGAAGCUUGCUGUGGUGGAAGCAGCCUCCUCCACAGGACUCUUAGCUGGGGACCGAGAAUUCAAAUGCAAAAGCCAAUCUAUGGACGAUGCUUCACACUCAGAUAACGAGAGACCGCCAAUCAGUUUGUGCGCCCAUAGCUCCUUUCACCACCCAACUACCUUUCUAGAGAUUCCUUCCCUCAUGUCUUCGUGACAAUUCUCCACGCUCCAAAGGCAGCGCCUCAAUUUAGAAUUCCAGCUCAGAAUUCCUUGGACCUGAACGUUUCUCCUGGAAUUUGUUAACUCUAGCUUUUGUUUGCUCACGAGUGCCAGCCUUUGUGUGUGUGUUGCUUAGGAUACCCGAGAGCCUGAUGCAUAUCGGGUGCCUCUGCUUUUCUCCCACUUCCUGUCUGUCUCCAUCUCUUUCUCCUUCCUUCUCCUUGUUUUGGGGGUUUUAUAGUUGAUCCCAGGGUUGUGCCCGUGUUUGGGAAGUGCCAGUGAGCACUCUUUGUCCUGGAUAUUUGGGAAGGAGUGGUAUAUCAGCUCUUCCAGGACAAGAAUCGUGUCUCUGCUCUGUUCACCCCUCACGUGAGAGGGAGAGCGCAGAGUGCUCAGUGGAACAGACGAUAGAAUAGACAGACUUAAAGAAACGAAAAGAAUGAAUUGAAUGAGUAAUUGUUAGUUGACUACUUAGUAAAUAGACUUUUAUGAGUGGAAGAAUUCCAAAGACUAGUAUAUUUGGAUAGGCUUAUGAAUUCACCAGUAAGUUCAUAGGAAGAGCCUCAGGAUAUUUCAUCGUCUCUUCUCUACCUAGUGUAAUUCUAAGCCUUGUGAUAUGGUGGGAAGAUACCUGUAAGGCAUCCGGGACUCUCACAUCCUAGGCAAGAACGUGUAGUUAGGAUGAUGAAACUAUCAAGAGAACAUUAAAGCUAAAUGUUCCAAAGACUGGAACAUUUGAACACUUCUUAUUAGAUUGUUGAGGGGCCAUAAAGUAUGGGAGACACUUGGUUAUCCAGAGAACAAAAAAAUGUGAUGGGUGGUGUCUAGGAGAGGACAGAGAGCGUUUGUUAGUAUGAAAGAGCAGCCUAGGAUUAAGGCUUAGCUGUCGGUCCGAGUUGGUGUCUUACCUGGGGGACUGAAGCAGAGAAGUCACAAGUGUGAGAGUAGCCUGGGCUGCAGUGCCAGAUUUUGUCUUUAUAAAGAAUGCUGCAUUUGCUACCCGUGGGGGAUACACAGUGGAUUAUCUUCGCUGCUGGAGAGGGCUCGCUCUCUUAGGAGCACUGGGAGUCAGUGAGCUUGAUCUGAGAGGCUAAGGCUGUGCAGUCCUUCCUCUCCUCCUGCCCCUCACCCCACGCAGGCGCCCACGGUCCGUGUGCCAGCUCUGGCUCUCGGCUGUGCUCACUCGGGCCUAGAUGGUGAUGAUUUUGAAUUUGGAAAGACAGGACUUGGACAACGCACGCGUGUGUUUCAGUUGGGCUGGCACAGAAGAGUUCCUAAAGUUUCUCAGUGUGUUAAUCAAACAACAGCAAGGACUAGGCUCUUAGCACGCCUGGACUGAAAACAUACAAGAUGAUGAAGUAUACUUUCAAUUAAUAAAUAUUUGUAAGUAUCAG
rnacentral:lncRNA from 1 species